rnacentral:rRNA from 1 species
AUACGAAGGGUGCAAGCGUUACUCGGAAUUACUGGGCGUAAAGCGUGCGUAGGUGGUUGUUUAAGUCUGUCGUGAAAGGCCUGGGCUCAACCUGGGAAUGGCGAUGGAAACUGGGCGACUAGAGUGUGGCAGAGGGUAGUGGAAUUCCUGGUGUAGCAGUGAAAUGCGUAGAGAUCAGGAGGAAGAUCCGUGGCGAAGGCGGCUGCCUGUGCCAACACUUACACUGAGGCACGAAAACGUGGGGAGCAAGCAGGAUUAGAUGCCCUAGUGGUCAACGCCCAAAACGAUGCGAACUGGAUGUUGGGUGAAAUUUGGCACGCAGUAUCGAAGCUAACGCGUUAAGUACGCCGCCUGGGGAGUAUGGUCGCAAGACUGAAACUCAAAUGAAUUGACGGGG